AGUGAACGCUGGCGGUAGGCCUAACACAUGCAAGUCGAACGGCAGCACAGUAAGAGCUUGCUCUUACGGGUGGCGAGUGGCGGACGGGUGAGGAAUACAUCGGAAUCUACUUUUUCGUGGGGGAUAACGUAGGGAAACUUACGCUAAUACCGCAUACGACCUACGGGUGAAAGCAGGGGAUCUUCGGACCUUGCGCGAUUGAAUGAGCCGAUGUCGGAUUAGCUAGUUGGCGGGGUAAAGGCCCACCAAGGCGACGAUCCGUAGCUGGUCUGAGAGGAUGAUCAGCCACACUGGAACUGAGACACGGUCCAGACUACUACGGGAGGCAGCAGUGGGGAAUAUUGGACAAUGGGCGCAAGCCUGAUCCAGCCAUGCCGCGUGGGUGAAGAAGGCCUUCGGGUUGUAAAGCCCUUUUGUUGGGAAAGAAAAGCAGCAGGUUAAUACCCCGCUGUUCUGACGGUACCCAAAGAAUAAGCACCGGCUAACUUCGUG
rnacentral:rRNA from 1 species